GGCGAACGCUGGCGGUGUGCUUAACACAUGCAAGUCGAACGGUAAGGCCCUUUCGGGGGUACACGAGUGGCGAACGGGUGAGUAACACGUGAGUAACCUGCCCUCAUCUCUGGGAUAACAGUCGGAAACGGUUGCUAAUACUGGAUAUGAGCUUGCAAGGCAUCUUGUGGGUUGGAAAGAUUUUUUUUGGUUGGGGAUGGACUCGCGGCCUAUCAGCUUGUUGGUGAGGUAGUGGCUCACCAAGGCUUCGACGGGUAGCCGGCCUGAGAGGGCGACCGGCCACAUUGGGACUGAGAUACGGCCCAAACUCCUACGGGAGGCAGCAGUGGGGAAUAUUGCACAAUGGACGGAAGUCUGAUGCAGCAACGCCGCGUGCGGGAUGACGGCCUUCGGGUUGUAAACCGCUUUCAAUUGUGACGAAGCUUUUUUGUGACGGUAGCAGUAGAAGAAGCACCGGCUAACUACGUG
rnacentral:rRNA from 1 species